rnacentral:rRNA from 1 species
AGCGGCGGACGGGUGAGUAACGCGUGAGGAACCUGCCUCAAAGAGGGGGACAACAGUUGGAAACGACUGCUAAUACCGCAUAAGCCCACGGGUCGGCAUCGACCUGAGGGAAAAGGAGCAAUCCGCUUUGAGAUGGCCUCGCGUCCGAUUAGCUAGUUGGUGAGGUAACGGCCCACCAAGGCGACGAUCGGUAGCCGGACUGAGAGGUUGAACGGCCACGUUGGGACUGAGACACGGCCCAG